AACCCUGUGUAUGACAGUACUAUAGAUGUGGACGAGAAACACGACCUUGAGUAUGCCAAUGCAGUAGAUGUGGACGAGAACCAUGAACCUGUGUAUGCGAGUGCUAUGGAUGUAGACAAGAACGAAGACACUGUAUGCACUAGUGCUUUAGAUGUGGGCGAGAAGCAUGACCUCGUAUGCACCAGUGCAGUAGAUGUGGAGGAAGCGAACGAGGACGACGCGGAGAGGGAUGAUGUGAAGGACGACCACAGUGAUACGUACUACAACAUAACAAGUGCUCCUGCAGUAACAUUGGUGUCCGUAGAUCAGCUGGGGAUCGGAUCAAGGAGCUGCAGGUGCCCGUCGGGGAUUCCAAGCAGAGUAUCAGAAGCUACCAACUACUUUCACCCGUUCCUACAACGACUCUCAGCGAGAUGUCAACAAACGGAAAAACAGAUUCCUUAAUUAUUACCCAUAUGAUGACACCCGGGUCAGGUUGCAAACACUGCCAGACAAGCCUGGUUCUGACUACAUAAAUGCCAGCUACAUAGACGGCUACUCCCAACCUAAAGCCUACAUUGCAGCGCAAGGUCCUACUGAACAGACGCUGACUGACUUCUGGAGGUUGAUCUGGGAAAAGAACUGUACAAGAAUCAUCAUGCUGACUAACCUCAUGGAGAUGGGAAAGGUGAAGUGUGUAACAUACUGGUCGGACAAAAGAGAUUUGACUGUGGGGAAUUUCCACAUCGUUGUAACUAACUCCAGUCAGCGAGCACAUUGGGUCGUCAGAGAACUACAAGUCACAGAUAUGAAGACCAGCACUUGUCGGUGCUUCAACCAAUUCCAUUUUACAACUUGGCCGGAUCAUGGGACACCCGAGGAGACCGCCUUGACUGAGUUUCUGUGGCUGGUAAGGAAAGCGCCCAUCACAAAAGAUGACUCUCUACUGGUGCACUGCAGGUAGGGAAAUUAAAGAAUUGCACCCUGAAUUGUUACACUUAUAAAGAACUAUCAUCUAUUUUGGUAACCCACAUCAAAAGUGUAACAGCAUGUACAG